rnacentral:lncRNA from 1 species
GUUGGUCUUAUAUUAUAAAAUGUUAAUUUAGAGAGGCGCAUUUUUGUAAGGAUAAGAGCAGAUAUGUGAAAAAUAAGUGUUGAACUUAUAUGAAUUCAGAAUUCUGUACAUUACUAAAUCUUUCUUGUUCACUAUAUAUCAUGAUUUCAAUUUUUAUCUCCUUUUUUAUGUUUUGUUUGGGAGAUGGCUGGUUAAAACUAUUCAUAGUAUCUUCAUUAUGAAAUUCUGAGCUAUCUAUAUAUUUGUUGCUUACUUUAUGUAUUUAAUAACUACAAAGAGAUGUAGCUAUGACAACUGGGGCCUCUCUUAUUAGAUUUCAUGUAGUAUUUCAUACAUAGUAGUUAUCAGGAAUGUAAAUAGCAUAUAUGACGAAUUUUCCAAAGAAGAAACAAGAUUUGGCGCUUAGUUUUAAGUGUUUUUAUUUAGGACAAAAAUGGGUGGAAUAGAUGACAAAUUUUGUCUUACUACUCAUUACACUUCUAUCCUUUAACUAGCUUAUGAUCUCUACAUGACCUCUCUUAUUUCUUUUGAAUGAGGACUAUUAUGGCUUUCUAACUUUUCUUAAACAAUUUAGGCUUUUUGCACUAUUAAUUUGUUAAAUUUUUGUUCCUUGUAUUUGAUUGGGGCAAAAGCUUUCUUAGUUAUAAUUGGGGUUUCCUUACUCCACCUCUUUCUUCCUUCAAGUGCUGCUUCAGUUUCUUCAACUUUAAGACAUAGAGUUCCCUUCCUUCCCUAUCGAAUGGAUCCACUCCCAAGCCCUUGCUUUCACUUGCUUACUUGCUGGAUUCAGUCAGAUAACUUACUUGACGAAUAGAACUUAACUAGCUGGCUGGAAACUCGGCUAGGAACAUUAUGUUUUCCUUCUUUACAUAAUACCUUUCUUUUCUUAUUUCAGGAACCCAACGACUUCCUCGGCUUGUUGGACUCACAAAAGCUCUUGAAAUGAUAUUGGUUAGUGCUUUUCUGUUUCUUCUAAACCUUUCUAUUUGUUGAUCUUCAAAAGUAAACCCUAAUAAACUUGAAUAAUGCUGUACAAAUUAUUAUCACAGUUGUCCAAGCCAAUAAAAGGCAAAGAAGCUUAUGAAUUGGGUCUUGUUGAUGCCUUGGUCUCAUCUAACGAACUGGUGAAGACCGCUCGUCGUUGGGCUCUCGAUAUUGCCGAGUGUAGAAAACCGUGGAUUAAGAGUCUUUACAAAACCGAUAAAUUAGAACCACUUGGUGAGGCUAAGGAGAUUCUCAAGUUUGCAAGAGCUCAAGCUCAAAAACAAGCUGCCAAUUUUCAACAUCCGCUAGUUUGUAUUGAUGUUAUCGAAGAGGGUAUAGUAUCAGGACCGCGUGCAGGACUUUGGAAGGUACAGUCUGCUUAAUAUUUAGUUUAAUUUAGUUUUUGUUGCUUCCAAAGAUUUAGCUUCAGUGACUCGUAAGUUUUACUUGAUUUAUGUUAUGUGAAAUUUUUCAGGAAGCAAAUGCUUUCCAGUCGCUUCUUUUCUCUGACACGUGUAGAUGCUUGGUUCAUGUCUUCUUUGCUCAACGAGCAACAUCAAAGGUAAGCCAUAGGAUAAACUUCCCUAUAUAUCCUUGUAAAGUUAUCUUUUACUUAUACACAAACAUAUAUUAACAUAUAUAUUUGUUUAUAUCAAUGUAUGAAUAAUGAUCAACUUUCGCUAAGUUACACGUCUUUUAAAGUACAUUUUACAUUUACGUGAACUGUGAAGUUGUACCACAGAGACCCUAAAAUAAAAAUAUAAACUGUUUAAUGGGAUGUACAGCAUUUAAAAGACCUAUUUAGAAAAGAAGUCUCGCAAACGUAUCUUAUGCAACAAACUAUGGCCUUUCUUACUUCAAAAUUGUAGACCAUUGGUUUUGGUGCUCUCUAAUACUUAGGAAACAGGUUGCCAUACUUACGGUUCCUAGGCCUAGUUUGGGACUGCAUUCUCCAAAUGCAAUUGCUUUGAGGCUUUAGAGCCACCCGGGAAAGUACUUUGUAGCUCCACUCCUCCAAUCCUAAAAAAUUGUAGUGGGAACCUCUACUUGAGAAGCAUCCAGCAAGAUGUUCCUCUGGUGGCCCUGUUUUCAUUGUGUAGUUUUUGAGGAGCGAAGCUCUUAAGUGUUUUUAGAGCUUUUAGGGGCUUUAAUGUACCAAAGUGUUUGUGAUCUGAACAUGCAAUUGCUAACCAGGUCUUACCAGUUAGGACUUUUAGCACAGAAGCCUGAAUACUAACUAAUGUUAAUGUUGAGCGACUGAAUUACCAUAAAGCUAGUGCUUGAAAUGGUUUUCUGUUCCAAACUUAAAUCAUUAAUGUUUGCUCUAUAGUUAUUUGACUUAUAUUAGCUGUUGCAUAAGUGAGCUUUUCCAUUUUAUAAUUGCAACAGGUUCCUGGGGUUACCGACUUGGGUUUGAUGCCCAGAAAGGUAACCAAAGUUGCUAUUCUUGGGGGAGGACUUAUGGGUUCUGGAAUUGCUACUGCGCUGAUUCUGAGCAAUUAUCCAGUGAUACUGAAAGAAGUAAAUGAAAACUUUCUUAAAGCAGGGAUUGAAAGAGUCAAAGGUAGUCUUGCCAUUUUCUUACUUUACCUAAGAAUAGUUCCUGUACUCUCUCUCUAUGCUCUCUCUCUAUGCAACUUACUCCCUGAAAGCUUCUACUAAACGUGAGCUUUCCUGAUAUUUUUCAAUCCCAUACCUGGCCUUGUUUGCCAAGGAUUUAAGUGCCGACCGGCAUGGGUAGUAUCAAUCGUGGCACGGGCAGUAUCUAUCGUGUUGUAUUGUGUCAACAAGAUAUUAGCACAAUAUAGCCCUCGUGUCGAUGGCACAGUUCAAAACCCUCUAUUCUUUAAAUUAUUAAGUAGUUUUCUCAAUAAAGUUCAAAAGCUUGGAUAAAAAUAAAUAAUAAAUAGUUAGAAUAUUUUGUUGCUAAAGAAAAUAAAUAUUUCAUGCUAUUAUGUGUCGUCACACACGAACUUUUUGUGACCGGCACGUACCGUGCCAGCAAGUUUCCGGGGCGACCCCGUGCCAUGGCAUUUAAAUCCUUGUUGUUUGCCAUACAAAAACUUUUACCUAGUGCCAUUUCAUGUGCUUUUCACAUGAUCCUUUUCUUGUGAAGGGACAAUUUUAAACCUUAUUUGUGAAAUGACUUCCCAAUUUUCGUUUGUUUAAAACUAGGUAAAAAUGGUCAUUUCACAUGGAAAGGGUUGUCACGGUAGCACAAAUUUUAAAGCUGAAGGGGCCAGGCAUGCAACUGCAAAAUAUAGGAAAGCUCUGGGGCUGAAUUUCUGCAAAAAGUGCAGAAGCUGAGUCGUAGUACCUCUGGUGCUGGGGCUAUCCAUAUAUUUUAACCCACCAGUUUUAGUUGCUUUCAAAUGUCAUUAUUUAUUUGUUCACUUGUUUUUUCAGCAAAUUUACAAAGCCGCGUCAAGAAAGGGAAGAUGACUGAGGAGAAAUAUGAGGGGACUCUUUCUCGACUCACAGGUGUUCUUGAUUAUGAUCGUUUCAAAGAAGUGGAGCUAGUCAUUGAGGUAAGUUGGCCCAUGUUAAAUUCUUCCCUUAUUUAGCUUUAUGUAGUUCUCUCUUACCUCCUUUCUGAUCUUGCCAUUUCACUCGCUUGAUCUUCUUAUGUGAUUGAUUUCUUUUUGACCACUGCAUCAUGGCAGGCGGUGAUUGAAAAUGUGUCAUUGAAGCAGCAAAUAUUUGCUGAUUUAGAAAAAUAUUGCUCUCCCCAUUGCAUACUUGCUACAAACACCUCAACAAUAGAUUUGAAUCUAAUUGGAGAAAGAACAAAGUCUCAAGAUAGAAUUGUUGGUGCACAUUUCUUCAGGUAAUAUGAGAUAAGCAUAUGAUUUGUGUGUGUGUGUGUGUUUUAAAGUUUCCUACUGACAGUUAUCUUCUUCAGUCCUGCUCAUAUAAUGCCACUCCUAGAAAUAGUCCGGACUCAGAGGACUUCUCCACAAGUUGUCGUUGACUUACUGGAUAUUGGCAAGAAGAUUCGUAAAACACCAAUAGUAGUCGGGAACUGUACCGGCUUUGCUGUCAAUAGGAUGUUCUUCCCUUAUACUCAGUCAGCGCUCUUGCUCGUCGACCGUGGUCUAGAUGUCUAUGAGAUCGAUCGUGCUUGCACUAAAUUUGGAAUGCCAAUGGGCCCUUUCAGGUACUUAGAUGUCAAAGCUUUUACAUAUAUAUGCCUGCAAAAUUAGCUGUUUAUGUGCACUUAAGUGCAGUUUCUUAAAAAGAUACCAUUACCUGUGAAUCAUCCAAUUCAUCCUUAUGUUGAAUUUGUUAGGAAAAGAUUGGGAAUGUUGUUAGGACGAGGGUAGACAUGUAAGACUUAAUUUUCUGAAAGCAAAGCGUAUCCAAACAUUCAGAUUUUGUAGGAAGAUAUAUGUAAAUAGAUAAGCAUGUAAAUAUGUUUGUAGUAAGUCAUAUUUAAACAACUACCUCUUUUCCCACAGAGUGGCGGAUUUGGUUGGUUUCGGGGUUGCUGUAGCCACGGGUAUGCAGUACCUUGAGAACUUUCCAGAAAGAGUUUAUAAAUCAAUGUUGAUAUCAAUUAUGCUCGAGGACAAACGAGCAGGUACUAACUAAUAAUAUCAUAUUGCAUUCCAUGCUUGUUGGUAUUAUCUCUCUUCUCUCUAAUAGACCAUGUUUUAAUACCGUACUAUGCCACUUAAUGACAGGUGAAGCAACUCGAAAAGGGUUCUAUAAGUACGAUGAAAAGCGUAAGGCAAGUCCGGAUCCUGAAAUAGCAAAGUACAUUGAGAAGUCAAGGAAUAUGCAAGGCACCACCCCAGAUCCUGAGGUACUUUUCCCUCUUUGUUAUUCACUCAUGUACUUUUCCCUCUUUAUUAUUCACUUAUGUACAUGCAUAUAGAAAUACAUUGUGCUACAAUUUUGGAACUAUAGAAUUUUGUCAUAGAAUUUUUUUCUUGUUUAUGACGUUAAUGAGCACCCUUUGUCAUGAUUUAUAGAGUGAAAAGGCUUCUUUUUCCUGAUUUUUCAAUGGGAGCUUAUAAUAAUUCAGUCCUUCCAUUAGUUUGUCUUUCAAAAAUGGUGACUUCUUGGCAUCAUUAUUAGACUUUCUGUUGAUAAAGUUGAAACGAUAGGGAUGAAAGUGAAAUUAGAUCAGAUUUCAAAUAUGUAGUUGACAUAGAAGCAAAGCUGGAGGAAUGCAAGUUAUAAAUUUUGAGAAAUAUAUUAAAAUAGGGUUCAAUUUCACAGGCUAAAUUACUUAAAAAAAACUUUUAGGAUGAAAUUAAAUUUGGAUCAAAUUAAAUUUGGAUCAAAUUGUAGGGGCUAAAGUCAUAAUUUACACUUUAUUGUAAGUGCCCAUUUAUGCAUUUUGAAAUGUCAUCAUUGGUUUCAUGCAGCUAAUGAAGUUAGCAGAUAAAGAUAUAGUAGAGAUGGUGUUCCUUCCUGUUGUCAACGAGGCGUGCCGUGUUCUUGAUGAGGGCAUUGCUGUAAAAGCAUCCGACCUCGACAUUGCUUCGGUUAUGGGCAUGGGAUUCCCCCCUUACAGGUCUUGUUCUUUAAAUUGCAUUACUAUUAAGUGUUUUUUCAGGAAAAAAAGAAGAAGAAAAAACAGUAGGAUUAAAUUGUUCUGGAUUUCGGAACACAACUCCAAUCUGAGAAGCAGCAGUUAGGCAUUUCACAAUAUGCUGUGGCAAAAUGCCGAAAUGAGCUUCAGUAGCUUUAGUUUGAAGCUUCGGCUUUGUAGAAGUGUUGAAACUAUUCGGAGAAUUUUAAUAAAAAGAGUAUUAGUGCCUUUUUAAUAAAUCCACUCAAACAGCAGUUUCGCUCAGCUCCAGUUCUUCACGAUGUUGAUUGUUUUUUUUUAAAAAAAAUAAAACCAGGGGCGGCGUAAUGUUUUGGGCUGACUCUCUUGGAGUGAAAUACAUCUACUCAAAAUUGGAGGAGUGGUCGAAUCGAUACGGUGACUUCUUCAAGCCGUGUUCUUAUUUAGCAGAAAGAGCUGGAAAAGGCAUUCCGCUGGUGAGCUCAAAUAUAUUGAUUUUAUUCUCUGCUUUUGAUUAUUCGCAUUUUAGAAUUAUUCGUUCAAACCAACUUUUAUUUAUCUAUUUUAUUAUUUCCAUUUUCUUCAGAGUGCCCCGGCAAUGCCAAGCCAAACGUCGCGGUUGUAGAUCGGCUUGUUAGUGAUUUUAUCCCUUUCCAUAUCCUAUUAUAAAAAGGAAAGCAAAUAAUAUUAAAAAGAUUGAGAUAGUUAUAAUAGAGUGUUUUUAGGCCUUUAAAUUACAUAUUUAAACAGUUCCAUGAAAGAGGUGCCCCAUAAUUCAUAGUUUAGUGUGGAUAGUUGGCAAUGCAUUGUAACAGUUAUCAGCUUUAGUAAAGAGCUAUACUAAAUUUGUAUCUUCAUGUUGGUAUAAAAAAUGGGAUAAGUUGAGUUAUUGCUUACCACCUCUAAUGUAUCUACACAUUUAUGUAUCAUAGAUUUGCUGACUCUUUUUUCUUAUAUUUCAAUGUUACAAUCCAUGCCUGCGAACUCGGAAUCCGGCGACGUCCAUCCGAACGGAUCAUUGUGUGUUGGGGAUACGGGUUACCACAAAACACCCCAUCCAAACAACUAAUGCAUGAACUCCUGCUCUCUCUGUUAUGGACUUACUUCGUUUGGGCAGGCGGUUUCAAUUUGAAAUCUUAGAACUGCAGCAUGACAACACGAGCAAGCUGGGGUCGGCUUGUUUUAUAAACGAGCCGAACACGUGCUGGUUCGUUAAAGUAUUGAGUCGAAAAAUUCAGCUCGUGUUCGGUCUGUUUAUUAACAAGUCGAACAUGAGCUAGCUCGCGAACAAAAAAUUAACAGGAUUAGAGAGAGUAUAUAAAAAAAUAUAUUUAUAAGUUUUUUUAUCCGUUAGAAUUUAAUUUAAUAGUAAAAAUUUUGUAUAUAAAUUGGUCUUUUUAUAAUUGAGUUAGUCUUUAUAUUUAAGUUGGGCUAAAAAUUAAAUAAUAAAAUAUCUAUAUAUAUAUAAAAUAGCUAGGGCUACUAUGAGUAUAGGUCCUUUUGUACUCAUAAAUUUUUGACCGUUGGAUGAAGAGAUGUGCGGUUGGGUUGAUAGUGGUCUCCGAUUAGAUUAAUAGUUAAGUGAGUGGUUGGUUGAAUAGUAUGAUCUAACGAGUGGAAAUGGUCAAAGGAGUAAAUCUAACGGCCGAAAAUUUAUGAGUACAAAAAAAAUUAUACUCAUAAAAGUAUUGUAGCCGGAUAACAGCUUGAAUACAUAUAUUUUAUAUCUAUCUAAUAUAUAUAUAUAUAUAUAUAUAUAUAUAUAUAUAUAUAUAUAUAUAUAUAUAUAUAUUAGAUAGAUAUAAAAUAUAUGUAUUCAAGCUGUUAUCGAGCCGAACACGAGCUGUUCGAGCGAGCUGAUCCUAUAGAUCAUGUUCGCCUUGUUAUUAAAUGAGCUGAAAAAUUUAUCUCGUAUGCGACUUAUUUACUAAGCGAGCUAUUCGAUCUCGAGCUCAUUUAGAGCUGAAUAUGAGCUGGCUUGUGAACAGUAAAUUGGAUUGCCAACCGGAGCUUGCAGCAGUGGACCCAAACUUUUGCCUUUCACUUUGAUUUCUGAUCUGUUUUUUAGCUUGUUUCUCUUUAAGUACGAUAAUAAUGUCGGGAGACUAGGGAUGCAAACUGAUUCGGAUUGGUGGAGCUCCAAUUCAGGGCAGUAAACGGAAAGAAAUAAACAGAUUCGGGACAGGAAAGAGUAAUUUUUAUGAUCCGAGAUAGAUUCAAGGCAGAAAAAUGGAAAAAUUUUUGACCAGCACCGAAUUCGCCCGCCUCGCUAUGAUCUACCCUGAAUUUGCCCCGAAAACUAUUUAUACUUUAAGAAAAAUCCUAAAAAAUAAUAUAUUUACAAAGAGUCCAAAAUACAAAUAAGUUGGUACUCUAAUUUCUCAUGUAUUUAAAACUUUUAAAUUUUGCUUUGAAUUUUGAUCGAUAUUUUUGAUUUUUAUAAUUGAUGUUGUUAAUUAUAUAUAUAACUUAAUAAUUUUAUUCAUUAUUAUUAAAAAUUAUUAAUUUAUAUUUUGCAAAAUAUUAAUAAUAUUAUAAUUUUUAAAAAAAUAUUAAUUAGAGGGGUGGAUUUGGGACGUUAGCGGAAGAUGGGUUAUGAGGUAAGAUGUAUUAUGAAAUAUAUUUUUUAACCAAUCACGAAUUCUGAGCAGGAGGCAAGACAGGAUUUUGGUGGUAGUAGGGACGAAAGGCGGGGGGAGGCUCCCGGUCUCAGAUCUGUCUGGUUUGCAUCCCUACUGGCGAUCCUUCAAAUAAAAGUUGUUUAGAAAUAAUCCACUCCACUAUAUUUUUGGGAUUGAGAUCCUUUCACCUUCUAAUAUUUUUACUUAAAUUUUACACUUAGCUAGGUUAAAUAUUUUAUCAAGUCAAAUAAUUCUAUUAGUUAUUAACCGUUAGUUAAUCUAGUUUUGUCUUUCUUAAAAUAAUUGAAAUCUUUUAAUUUUCAAAAAAACCAGAAGUUGAUGCAUCUCAAUUAAAAAAGAGAAAAAAAAAUUGAGGCAUUUAUUUCAAAAUAUCUUCUUCCUAUCCUGACUAGGAAUGUCAACGAGUUGGAUUCAAGACAAAUUUUUAAAAAUUCGAAUCUAAACCCGACUGCCAAAUUCUAAACCCGAACCCAAAUCUUACCCCAAAUUUGAUGGAUUUUAAAAAUCCAUAUUCAAAUCUAUACGCGACUAAAAAUUCAAAACACGAAUCCGAAUCUGAAAAUUCGAACCCAAAAUAAUUAUUUCUCUUUACAAUAUUUCAAAAUAUAUUAUAUUAAAUCUAAAUUUUUAAAAUAUAAAUUUAAAAUAUUAUAGGGCCAAUAUUAUACCUAUAAAUUUAGUGGGAUUAUUUGUGAAAAUAAUUUUUUUUGAGGGGGCGAAUGCCAAAAACGCUCUUUUGGCCUCAGUCCUCUUCCUACCCCGACGGCCCCCACAUCUCCUCUCUCUCGACCCCCGACUCCUCGACCAACUUCGAGCUUGCCCUCGCCCCGCCCUCGACCCCCACCACCAAUGGCGGAGCCACAGGGGGCGGCACCGCCGCAAUCGCCGUCGCCGACGCAGUCGCAGCCGACACCGACGACGCCGACGCCGCCGCAGCAGCAGCAGCAGCAGAGGGAGGAGAUGAUGGCGUGCGUGGCGGCGCUGGAGGCGGCGCUCCUCCCCUGCCUCCCCGCCCGCGAGCUCCAAGCCGUCGACCGCUCCGCCCAUUCCUCCCACCAGAGUGAGACCCUCCCCUUUCUCUUCCUUUUAAUCGAUCUAUGUAGCUAUCAAUGAUGCAAAUUUGGUGUAGAUGAGGUGUUUGUUGUUUUUUCGCAAAGAGUAGUGCUGUAUCUAUCUAUGUAGCUAUCAAUGAUGCAAAUUUGGUGUAGAUUAGGUGUUUGUUGCUUUGCAACACAGAGUAGUAUCGAUCUAUAUAGCUAUCAAUGAUGCAAAUCUGGCGUAGAUGAGGUGUUUGUUGUUUUGCCACACAGAGUAGUACCUUCUGAACUGGUCAUGCUUCUUCUUUGUAUCACUUUGUAAUUAAUUUUCGAGGAACAUAUCCCCACGAACUUGUGAAUUUGUGAAUUUGUUCCUCACGUUUUUUUGGUUAUCAUGUAUAAUGAGGAAUGCCGGUUGACUGCUAGUUGUUUACCGUUAGGACCAUCAUGACCUUAAAAAUUAUAUAUUUUCAAGAUUUUGAUUUUUUAAGGGUUUGGGGUUUGUGGUUCACAUGAAGAGAUAUGGUUCCGUUUGGGAUUGUGUGGAUAUCUUGUUAUGUGUGGCCAGAAAGUAUGAUAGGAAAAUAUUAAUUUUUUCUGUAUGUAAUAUCACGUUGUGCAUAUCAAAUGAGUCGAUUACGAUAUAUAUUUUGUGACCCUAUUAGAAAACAGAGAAGUAUAUCCUUUCAUGCUUUUGCCCUUACUCUGUUUUGCCUAAUAGCGUUAGAUGACCCUUAAUAUCAGAUGAACCUGUAGAGAAGUUAGAGGUUGUCAAAUGGAAAAUAAUCGUUAAAAUUAUUGUGAAAGACAUUCUUAUGAGGGUAGCACGGUCUUUUCACAAAAAAAUAAUGGUUUUAAACAGUCAACUGAAUGAGAGGGCAAAUUUUUCGAACUUUUAGAAUUAUAAGGGAUAUAUUUAAUGGCUAAAAACUUUGAGGGACAAGUUUAUAGUCUCCAAACUUUGUAGGGUUAUGUAUAUGUAUGUAAGUUAGGUUAUGCUAAACAAAUUUUCGAUCCCAAAUCCUUCUGAAAAUUGAUACAAGGUUAUUUGAAUUGAUGAUCUAUGCUGUUAGAACUGAUCUACAGUAUUUGAAGAUACAGAAACUAAAAAUCAUGAGUUUUUAAUACUUCUUACUUAUACUUUAGAGACAAAGAUGAACAGUCGAAAUUGAAUAUGCUUCUAAGACAUAGCAUAAGAUUUCUCUACUGAAAAUCAAAGUCCAUGUUCUUUCUCUGGACAUCUAAAAAUAUUUUUUACCAAAUUUCAGAGUCAUUUGAAACAUGUUUUAACCUUUAAGAAAGGAAACAUCUUUUUUUAUUGUUAGAAUUGUGAAAUUUGAGAAAACUUGAUACAUCGCCAAAAAGCAGUGAAAAGUCAUUAAGUUUUAUUUCUAGUAGUUUCUGAUAUUUUGCUUGGACUGCUACAUGGAUGUUGUGAUAGUUUAGUUUAUCUUUGCAUAUGAGGUGCUCACGUGCUUGCAAAUUUUUUUCUCCUAGAUUAUGCUAUGAUAAUUCAAUUUUAGUUGCUUCAUCCGUUGAGAAAGGAUUGGGUCAUGAAUCAUAAAGGGUGUCAUUUAUACAACUGCAUGAAGAAGAUGAAAAUGGCAAAGAAAAUGAGAUCGAACUGAAUAAAUUAAUCUGAUAGAUUGUAAAAGAUAAAGAACCUCUUGUGUUUACACAUUUUGUGAGCACUUCUGUUUUUUGUAACAUUUUGGCAUUUUUUCUUCAUUUACAGUCAUUUAGUCGGUGACAGUUUUUUCUGGACAUUGCAUAUAUUCCUGCAUUAAAUGUUUGAAACUUGUUACUGUUAACUUGAAAUUGAAAGAACUAAUACUACUCAAAAGUAAAGUAAUCUAGUAACCAAUGAGCGAACCAGAUAAGACCUCUAUUUUUAGGUGCAAGAGUUCGUGGGCUUUACUCCUAUAAUGAGAAUUGAGGGAUUUAGUGAUCGCUCUUCACCUACUUGUUCAUUUCAUUUGUAUUGAUUUUCAUUUCAAUCAACUGUAUAUUUCAAGCCUUUGGCUUCUGCACUUUCCUAAAAGAUGCUCUGAUUUAUCACUCUUUGAUAAUUCUAUGAUAACACCCAACCUUGUGCGAUCUCAAUUCUUUACGUAGAUAAUCAUGCAUCAAGGGAUACCAAGGUCAUGAACUGAUUCUCCCCCCUAGUUUUUUUUAGUUCUGUUUUUUUUUAUUGUCCUUCUUAAUUUGAUUUUGUACCAUUGUCCUUGGACCAAGGAUUUAAGUGUCCAACGGCGCAGGCCGUAUCUAUCGUGUCGUAUUGUGCCAACAAGAUAUUGGCACGAUACAGCCCCCGUGCCGAUGGCACAGCUCAAGACCCUCAUUCUUUAAAUUAGUAAGUAAUUUUCUUAAUAAAGUUCAAAAGAUUUGAUAAAAAUAUAUAAUAAACAAUUAGAAUAUUUUGUUGCUAAAGAAAAUAAAUAUUUGAUGAUAUUAUGUGUCGGCACACAUGAAUUUUUUGUGACCGGCAUGCAUGACGCAUUGGCCCGACCCGACACGACACACCGUGUCGUACCAUGUUGGCAAGUUUCCGGCACGACUAUGUGCCACGGCACUUAAUCCUUGCCUUGGACCCAAAGGAAUAUGGCAAAUGAAGUUGUUUAUUUAUGGCAAUUGUGAAGCCUCAUGGAAAAUCUUAGUUCUUGAUAAUUUUAUAGUCUCUGUUAAUAGUCAGCAUUGAAAUUCUGCCUCAUUUUUACCAUUGGAUAAAGGCCUUUUAUCAAUUUUAGUUCUCAAAAGGUCAGUUCAAAAUUGACUUGCAUCUCCUUUGUGAGAAUUAUUCUUAUUUAUUCUUUCGCAAAGUGUACACAUUGGUGACAUCCACCCAAUGUUUAUGCUUUCUGUAGUUUGAAAUAGUUCUUGAAUUCUUUACUCAUCAUUUAUUAUCAUUUGGUCUUCACCAAACCAAAUACAUAUGAACUCUUUACAGCUUCCUGAGACUCGAAAUUUCCUUACUAUAAAUAGUAUCUUUAGUGAGAAGUCGAUAAGCUAAUACUUUGUCUUCUUCCCCCUUAUUAACAGGGUCUCGACCCGUUAAAGAGAUCCUUCACACAUUUUGUGUGAUAUUUGACUUGACAUUCUAUUUUGUCAUUCAUGUGACGUUAGCUGAUGAGCCUUACGAAAUUAGCAUAAAAAAUAUGUACUGCAUGUCUGCCAAAAGAAAAGGUAUAUAUAACAGUGUUGACCUUUCGUUUCAGGCAAGUAUAUUUUUCUGCCAUUUGAUGCUGCUUCGAAGUCCUAGCUGUCUUAAUCAAGCAUCCUUUUUGUUCUUCUCCAUACAUUACUUCUACGUGUAUGUAUGUAUAUACUUUCGUCCUUUUCAUCUCAAAGCAAGUAGCCACCCAUGAUAUUACCUGUCGACUCUAUUUUGAUCAAUUUUCUGUUCAGUGUACUCAAAUUCAAAUUGGGCUUGAGAGAUUUUGAUCCUCUCUAAUUCAGAAUGUGAUUCUGUGUCUAUCUUUGAGAUAUGAGUUUGAUUCAUUGAGCUGAACAAUUUUGUUAUAGUAAGUCCAAAUUGACUAGCUUGACCAGCCUCCCGUAAUUGGGUAUUCUUGUCCAAGCAGUGGAAUCUGUUAGGCUCGAGUCUUAGGGGUGUUAAAGAUUUAGUUCACAAGGCUAGUUUGUAUGGGAGAUUAUUUCCUGAUUGUGUAAUCUUUCUACACUUAAGAAAUGAAAAGGAUACUGCAAGCAAGCUUGGGUUUGGAUCCAUUUCACCUUUAGAGUUCUCUUUAAUAUCUAAAUCUCUUUAUCAACUUAGAUGUUACAACAGCAUCUCCAAAAUCGGUAUUAGACCUUUUUACUCGAUCUUUGCAAAAUUCCCUUUCUCAAAAUAUCUAAUUCCCUGAAUUUCUUCAUCUUUCAUCUGGCGUUUGAAGGAGCUGGUGAUUUUGGUGAUCUUCAAAACUAAAAAUUUGGAAAUGUCGGAGGCAUUGGUGAAUAAAUGAAAAGAAAAAAGCAUAAAAUACUUGCUCCUUCCUAUCAAAUACCUAAGUGUACAGACUUGAAUAAUUGCUUCUUAUAGUAAGUUUGGUAUCUUGAUUUCGCAUUUCCAUGUCAAAUAGUUGACGUCGAGAGACAUGCAAGAGAAUUUAUGGAAGCAGCGAAAAAGCUUCAGCUUUACUUCAUCGGUCUGCAACGCGAGGACCAACCAACCAGGGAAGAAAUGCUCCGAAAGGUUAAUUCUCCAGAGUUUUAAAAAAAAUGGGUACCAUUCUGAGUUGGAUUUCUUAACCUCCUUAUUUUUGAAUUUUAACAAGUCAUAUAUGUGCAGGAGAUUUCGAUCAUGGAGGAAGAGCUGAAGACCAAAUCCGAGCUAAUAAUGAAGCACGAGAAAAUCAUUCAGGGAUGGAGGAAAGAUUUGAAGGAACAACUGGAUAGACAUAUCACAGAAUUGGAGAGGGUGUAAUUUUCUAGUUUAUUUUGUGUUCAAAUAAAAUCCUCGUGACUAUCUUACACAAAUUUCUUUUUGUUGUACCGAAUUUGGAGAAUCAAAUUGCGAAGAGAAUGCAGCUGUUGUUGAAAUAAUGCUAUGUUCAUGGGGACUCAUCUGAAGCCUUCUAAUGAAGCAUUACUUCCUUUACUCUCCUACUUUUCUGGGACAAUUAUUUUGCAUGUUGUAUGCAAGUUGUAGUACGUGAUUAAAACACUAUUGUGCAUAUAAGUGUGGCAAAGUUAAAAGUAGCGCUAGGAUGCUUUUAGAAGUAAAUGAGCUUGUUUACUUCCGCAUUAUUUUCGACGAUUACACAUCUAAAUUGAGGAUCGGCAUCGUUAAAGAUGAUCUAGGCUUAUUUGGACUUUUUAUGUUCCAACUUUUUUGUGAUUUUUGGACACCAUUUGUCUACAAUUCACGUAGUCUCAAAGUUGACACUUUAUUGGGUAAUGUAAGGUGAACUUGAGACAACUUGAGCACUAAGUAAAUUAUAUCAUAAAAUUGUAAAAUUUGAUCACUAGAAUGUUCAAAUAGUCUAGAUUAAGCUUAAAUGUACCGUUCAUCGAUUUGGAUGCACUAUCGUUGAAAAUGGUAUAUCGAUUUGGAUGCACUAUCGUUGAAAAUGGUAUAGAAGGAAAUGCCUCAAUAUACUUAUAGAAGUAUUUUUAGCUUUGAUCAACUUUUAGCCUUGUGCCGAAUCGUAUCUUUUUAGAGUUGUCUCAUUUCAUGUGAGUAUCGACAUGCCAGUGUAAUGUUCUGCUUCAUGUUAAGACAACAAAAAGUUCGACGUUACAUAUAGGGUGUUCUUUUAAUAAAAUAUCUACUUCGCUUUUACUUUUACAUUCAUAGGCCACUUUUUUGGUUUUUGUAUAGUUGGGUAUUAUUUGAUCACUUGUGGAGAAAAUUGUAUUUCCUCUCUUAAAUGUAAAAAAUUGUAGAGAAGUUACACUAUUUGAAUGUAGAGUUAGAAGAGAGUAGAAAACAAGACAAAAAUAAAAGAUAAAAUUAUUUUAUCUUGUUUGAAUUAGAAUAUAAAAAAAUAAAAAUAAGUAUACAUUAAGAAAGAACUCUUAUUUCUAAUUCUUUCUAUGUAAAAUUAUUUCCAACAACUAAAUUAAAAUUUUUAUUUAAUUUUUUUUUAUAAUUUCAUUAUAUUUAACUAUCCUUACGCCGUAUAAUUUGACACUAUCUUCAAAACCCACAUGGCACCCUUCCUCUCCUCCAUUCCACGUGGCGAGAACACAGUUGGCCCCUCUCUCUCCCCCCUCUCCCUCCAGGUGGCUUGAGUGGUGUUGGUGGCGGCAGCGGUGGCUUGGGUGGCGUCGGCGGUCGGCACUGUGGCAACGACAGCUUGGGGGUGGCGUCAACGGCGGACACGGCGCGGCGGUUAGGGUUCCAGAUUAAUUAGGCUCAAUCUCUUCUUAUUAAUUAUCUUUCUUCUUUGGAGGAGGAGAAGGUAGAGUAAACAAAUAUUUCUCAUUCUAACUUUAGUCAUAAUAAUAUGUUUAGGGUAAAAUAUAUCAUCAGCUUUCGUCCUUUUUACUUAAUACUUACGGUUUCUAAAGUUAGAAAUGCACUAUACUUUAGCGUGAAAUAAUAAUGUUUUAAUUAUGCUUGAAGCAAAAGAGUGGCUGAAUUAUUUUGCAGGUAUUAUAGUCGUCUUACUAAACAAAUACUUUUUUUUAUCGUUCAAAUAAGGAGAAUUUAUGUAUACAGUCAAAGAAAGAGAAGCAGGAUUAAUUUAUGUAUAUGUCUGCCACCACGAAUGACGCACCUCGCACGGGGAAUUUUAUUUUGAUUUUCCACCGUGGGGUAGUAUUCAUGAUUCAGAUUAAUAUUUGAAUAUGUAUGGGAAUCAGGUAUUGUGGAUUCAUGGCUUCCAACAGACUCAAGAAUCUGUUGUUAAUUACCCACACUUUCAGUGUUAAGGAACCCUCGAUUAAGAGACCAAAUAUAAAUGCUGAUAAAAGAGACCAAGCAGGCAAAUAAAAUUUUAUUCAUAUGAUUUGCCGUUUACAUAGCUUAAGCAGGGGCAUACCCCCACUGUACAUGAAUUUCAUAAAAUGACACAGCAUUCGGUUGAAGUUUUGAUUUAUUAAAUCCUAAGUAUAUGUAUUAGGAUUUAAUUAGAUUUGAGAUUGACUAGGUCCUAAGUAUAUGUGUUAAGACCUAGUCGAUAUUAGACUCUAUGUAUUAGAGUCUAAUUGGCUCUAAGUAUAUGUUUUAGAGUCCAAUUAUAUUCACCUUGGUUAUAUGUUCCAAGGUGGAGAUGUGACCAAACCUCAAGUAUAUGUAUUGAGGUGGGUCGAAUUACCCGAAAGUAGAGAGUGGCUGAUUCCUGAGUAUAUGUAUCAGGAUUAACCGAGUUUAAUAUGUUUUCACUCUAGUUAUAUGUGCUAGAGUGAAGAUCUGACUAAGCCCUAAGUAUAUAUAUUAGGGGUAGUCGGAUUUGAUUCAUAUGAACUCUAAGUAUAUGUAUUAGAGCUCGAUCGGGUAAGGAUUUCACUCUAGGUAUAUGUGCUAGAGCAAAAGGCUGACUAGACCCUAGGUAUAUGUGCUAGGGCUAGUCGGAUGAACUCUAAGUAUAUAUGUGCUAGGGCUAGUCGCAUGUCCUUUGUAGUUUAGCGACGUUUCGGUCGUUUGAAAUUUGGGUUUAGUUUAGCGACUUUUCAGUCGAUAUCGGAUUUAGAUUUAGUUUAACGACGUUUCGGUCGGUUGAUUUGGUGGAUUAGUUUAACGACGUUUCGGUCGGUUGAUUUGGUGGAUUAGUUUAACGACGUUUCGGUCGGAGGUUUGGUGGAUUAGUUUAACGACGUUUCGGUCGGAGGUUUGGUGGAUUAGUUUAACGACGUUUCGGUCGAAGGUUUGGGUUUGGUUCACAAGGUUUAUGGUAUUGGGUAUAUGGGAUUAUGGUUCAUGAACUUAGAUAUGGUUCAUGGACUUAUGGUUCAUGAACUUAUGGUUCAUGGGUUUAUGGUUCAUGGGUUUGUGGUUCAUGGACUUGGUGUAUGGGUUUAUGAUUCAUGGACUUGGUGUAUGGGUUGUGGUUUAUGAUCCUUGGCUCAUGAACUUGAUUUGAUUCUUGAACUUGAUUCAUAGUUCGUGGAUUUGGUGUAUGGUAUGGUCCAUGGUUUUGGUUCAAAGUUCAUGAACUUGGUUAAGGUUAUGGGCUUGGAUAUGGGUUAAAUGUGUAUGGGUUCAUGGGUAAAUGUAUAUAGGUUUAUGUAUAUGGGUUUAUGGGUUAAUGGUUUUAAUGAGUUUUGGAUAAUGGGUUUAGAUAGAGGGCCCAAAUGGGUUUUGGACCGGGGGCAUUUGUAAAUGGGCUCUGGACUUCAUGAGGAUUUGGACUUGGAUGUAAUAUGAGCUCAUUUUAUGGGCUCAAUUUAGAUUUGGAUCAUGGGCUCAUUUUGGGCUUAAUUGGAUUUGAUAUGGGGAUUUGGAUUUAGGCUCAAAAUGGGCUUAAUUUGGAUUUGGUAUGGAUAAAUAGGUUCAAUUUGGGUUUGAUAUGGGGAUUGGGCUCAAAGCUGGCUCAAUUUGGAUUUGGACUUUAUAUGAAUUUGGGCUUCGUAUGAAAUUGAGAUUGGGCUUUUGGAUUCAUAUGGAUUUUGGGAUUAGGCUUUUGGGUUCAUUUGGGCUUGGUAUAAGAUUUGGAUUUGAUAUAGGAUUUGAAUUUGAUGUUGGGUUGAGAUGUGGAUUUGAUAUGAGAUUUGGAUUUGGGUUGAUAUGGGAUUUGAAUUUGGAUUCAAUAUGGGAUUUAGGCUUUGAUUUAGGAUUUUGGACUUAGGUUUAAUUUAGGCUUUGGGCUUAUUUUGGGUUUUGGGUUUAAUUUAGGAUUUGGACUUGGGUUGAUUAUGGAUUUGGGUUUUGUAUGGUAAUUGGG